rnacentral:rRNA from 1 species
GAUGAACGCUGGCGGCGUGCCUAAUACAUGCAAGUCGAGCGAACAGACGAGGAGCUUGCUCCUUUGACGUUAGCGGCGGACGGGUGAGUAACACGUGGAUAACCUACCUAUAAGACUGGGAUAACUUCGGGAAACCGGAGCUAAUACCGGAUAACAUGUUGAACCGCAUGGUUCAACAGUGAAAGACGGUCUUGCUGUCACUUAUAGAUGGUUCCGCGCCGCAUUAGCUAGUUGGUAAGGUAACGGCUUACCAAGGCAACGAUGCGUAGCCGACCUGAGAGGGUGAUCGGCCACACUGGAACUGAGACACGGUCCAGACUCCUACGGGAGGCAGCAGUGGGGAAUCUUCCGCAAUGGGCGAAAGCCUGACGGAGCAACGCCGCGUGAGUGAAGAAGGUCUUCGGAUCGUAAAACUCUGUUAUUAGGGAAGAACAAAUGUGUAAGUAACUAUGCACGUCUUGACGGUACCUAAUCAGAAAGCCACGGCUAACUACGUG